rnacentral:rRNA from 1 species
GUUGUAUAGUCAAGUAAUUAAGUGCAUGUGGUGGAUGCCUUGGCAGUCAGAGGCGAUGAAAGACGUGAUAGCCUGCGAAAAGCUCCGGGGAGGCGGCAAAUAUCCUUUGAUCCGGAGAUGUCUGAAUGGGGGAACCCACCUACUUUAAGGUAGGUAUUGCAACAUGAAUACAUAGUGUUGCAAGGCGAACGAGGGGAAGUGAAACAUCUCAGUACCCUUAGGAAAAGAAAUCAAUUGAGAUUCCCUCAGUAGCGGCGAGCGAACGGGGAUCAGCCCAUUAAGUUAUGUGUGUUUUAGUGGAACGCUCUGGGAAGUGCGAACGUAGAGGGUGAUAUUCCCGUACACGAAAGGGCACACAUAAUGAUGACGAGUAGGGCGAGGCACGUGAAACCUUGUCUGAAUAUGGGGGGACCAUCCUCCAAGGCUAAAUACUCCUGACUGACCGAUAGUGAACCAGUACCGUGAGGGAAAGGCGAAAAGAACCCCUGUGAGGGGAGUGAAAUAGAUCCUGAAACCGCAUGCAUACAAGCAGUGGGAGCACCUUCGUGGUGUGACUGCGUACCUUUUGUAUAAUGGGUCAGCGACUUAUAUUCAGUAGCAAGGUUAACCGUAUAGGGGAGCCGUAGAGAAAUCGAGUCUUAAUAGGGCGUUUAGUUGCUGGGUAUAGACCCGAAACCAGGCGAUCUAUCCAUGAGCAGGUUGAAGGUUGGGUAACACUAACUGGAGGACCGAACCCACUGUCGUUGAAAAGCCAGGGGAUGACUUGUGGAUAGGGGUGAAAGGCUAAUCAAGCCUGGUGAUAGCUGGUUCUCCCCGAAAGCUAUUUAGGUAGCGCCUCGGACGAAUACCAUAGGGGGUAGAGCACUGUUUCGGCUAGGGGGUCAUCCCGACUUACCAAACCGAUGCAAACUCCGAAUACCUAUGAGUACUAUCCGGGAGACAGACUGCGGGUGCUAACGUCCGUAGUCAAGAGGAAAACAAUCCAGACCGCCAGCUAAGGCCCCAAAAUCAUAGUUAAGUGGGAAACGAUGUGGGAAGGCAUAGACAGCUAGGAGGUUGGCUUAGAAGCAGCCACCCUUUAAAGAAAGCGUAAUAGCUCACUAGUCGAGUCGGCCUGCGCGGAAGAUGUAACGGGGCUAAAACUAUGUGCCGAAGCUGCGGAUGUAACUUUGUAUAGUGGUAGGGGAGCGUUCUGUAAGCCGAUGAAGGUGUGUUGAGAAGCAUGCUGGAGGUAUCAGAAGUGCGAAUGCUGACGUGAGUAACGACAAAACGGGUGAAAAACCCGUUCGCCGAAAGACCAAGGGUUCCAGUCCAACGUUAAUCGGGGCUGGGUGAGUCGACCCCUAAGGCGAGGCCGAAAGGCGUAGUCGAUGGGAAAAUGGUUAAUAUUCCAUUACUUCUGUGUAAUGCGAUGAGAGGACGGAGAAGGCUAAAUCAGCCUGGCGUUGGUUGUCCAGGUGAAAGGAUGUAGGCAUGUAUCUUAGGCAAAUCCGGGGUACUCUAUGCUGAGAUCUGAUAGCAAGCUGUACUUGUACAGCGAAGUGGUUGAUGCCAUGCUUCCAGGAAAAGUCUCUAAGCUUCAG